AUUGAACGCUGGCGGCAGGCCUAACACAUGCAAGUCGAGCGGCAGCGGGGGGAAGCUUGCUUCCUCGCCGGCGAGCGGCGGACGGGUGAGUAAUGUCUGGGAAACUGCCCGAUGGAGGGGGAUAACUACUGGAAACGGUAGCUAAUACCGCAUAACGUCUACGGACCAAAGUGGGGGACCUUCGGGCCUCACACCAUCGGAUGUGCCCAGAUGGGAUUAGCUGGUAGGUGGGGUAAUGGCUCACCUAGGCGACGAUCCCUAGCUGGUCUGAGAGGAUGACCAGCCACACUGGAACUGAGACACGGUCCAGACUCCUACGGGAGGCAGCAGUGGGGAAUAUUGCACAAUGGGGGAAACCCUGAUGCAGCCAUGCCGCGUGUAUGAAGAAGGCCUUCGGGUUGUAAAGUACUUUCAGCGGGGAGGAAGGCAGUGAACUUAAUACGUUCGCUGAUUGACGUUACCCGCAGAAGAAGCACCGGCUAACUCCGUGCCAGCCGCCGCCGUAACAC
rnacentral:rRNA from 1 species